rnacentral:ncRNA from 1 species
GUUAUCAUCUGAUAAAGCUGACCAUAGUGAAUGUUAUAAGGACUUUAGAGCUCCACAAUUCAGAAAUGGGACUCUGGAGAUUCCGGAGAGGGAGCCUGAGAAACGGCUACCACAUCCAAGGAAGGCAGCAGGCGCUCAAAUUACCCACUCCCGAUGCGGGGAGGUAGUGACGAAAAAUAACAAUACAGGACUCUUUCGAGGCCCUGUAAUUGGAAUGAGUACACUUUAAAUCCUUUACCGAGGAUCUAUUGGAGGGCAAGUCUGGUGCCAGCAGCCGCGGUAAUUCCAGCUCCAAUAGC